AGCUCUAUACCAAUUACAAAUGGCAGCUGCAGAUAAUCGUGACUGCGCAGAUGCUAGCGGAGAUUCAAUAUGUCUUUCAGUGAAACCUCGUCGUAUUUUACUGUUCAGUGGAAAAAGAAAGUCCGGCAAGGAUUACAUUACUGACAUUUUACAGCAAAGAUUAAACCAUUUGCCGUGCGUGACGAUAAAGAUUUCUGGACCUAUAAAAAUUCAUUGGGCCAAAAGUUUGAACCUAGAUUUCAAAGAAUUACUUGGAGAUGGAGAAUACAAAGAGAAAUACAGGGGACAGAUGAUUGCAUGGGGUGAAAAUAUGAGGAACAAAGAUAUUGGCUACUUUUGUCGUGCUGCUAUCGAUAUGUAUAAUGCUCGUAAUAUACCCAUAUGGAUAGUCAGUGACAUAAGACGGAAAACUGAUAUUCAAUGGUUCGUUGAAAAUUUUGGCAGCGCUUGUAAAACUGUAAGAAUUAUUGCUGAUGAUGAAAUCAGGACAAAACGAGGAUGGAUCUUCACACCAGGUAUAGACGAUGCAGAGUCUGAAUGUGAUUUAGACACCAUGAAUAAGUGGGACUUGAAAGUUUACAACAAUGAUGACAAUAUUGAUGAUAUUUUGGACACUAUCAUCAGUCUGAUAAAUUGAUCUAGUUUUACAAUUGAUAAAAUGUCGAAAUACAAUCAAGAAGCUGGCUUAAAAGGACUAGGAAAACAAAAACUGCAGUCAUUAACCUGUCUUGCCAGAACAAACGUCUGAUCAUAAGUCUGCAAAUUUUAAAGUGAAAUAUGUCAUAAUAAGUGUAUAUAUAUUAAUUCUGUAAAAAUAUUUAUUUUUACAUUGGUAUAUAAAUUGUGGUUUAAUUUCAAAAUGGACAAUUGAAAGGCAGAUAGUCUGUUGCGGAAUCAGUAAGAUGAACUUCUACAACUAAAAAAAAUUUCAUUGAAAAAGUACAUCCACCACUCACCGGAGACUGAUGAUUAAGUAGAAUUAUUUGAUUCCUAAAUAGUAUUGCCCAGAAGCACUGCUCAUUACUUUGGCUGUCCACUGGGAGAUGCCCCUUUACGUUUGAUACUGGUUCCUCUUUGCUCUUGUGGUUUCUGAAUGAGUUUUUGGGUUCAAUAUUUAGAAGUGUUGCAUCUAUUCUAUCAACCCUGCUGUGCAACUGUUAUACUUCUUGGUGACGUUAUUAUUUCGGAACAUUAGAAACGAAGUUCAUAGCACGGUGCUAUUUGCAAUUUUUCAAUGGCCCAACUUUUUAUUGUGAAAUCAUUGAAAUCAAGUGAAAAUCUAUGCUAAUUGUUGCUAAGUAACCUCCUUAUUAACGUGUGAUAGAACACGCGCAAUUUAAUUGAACACACCCAAAUCAUGGGACUAUGCAUGGAACCUAGAAGACUAUGUAUGUAUUAAUAAGUUAUCAAUAAAUUAUCUGUCAUAGAGUUGUAUGUAAUUCACGAUCUAUGAUUAAGGAAAUUAUUAGAGGAGCAACUUACCACUUGUGACUCAUGAAAAGUUAUACACUUGACUGUACGGAAGGUUAAAAAUGAAAUUUCUAUUUUACAAAUAAUAGUCACGGUCUUACAUUUGAUAUCUGAAGACAAACAGAAUGAAACCACUGAGCAAUUAUAUUUGAAAUUGGUUGUUGAUGCCAGAUAAACAACAGAUAAUUGUAUUUAAUACCUUGGCAGAUUAUAAAGCAAGCGUAUACGUAUGUAAAAACAUUUACGCAUUUUUAUUAACAUUUUUUACAUUUUUUCAUGUCUUCCCUUUCAUUUCUCCUUCUGUAUCUGUUUAAAUAGUUACAUUACAAUGUUUUUGUGAAAUUUUUCAUACAACUGUGUGUAUCAUUGAUAAACAGCAAUCUGUGCAGUCUGUUCGCAGAAUUAAUGCGCACUUAACUUUGAAAUUUUCAUUCCAUAAACGGUCAUUUUUAUAUUUUAUCAUAUAAUAUAUAAAUAUCGGACCUUCGUUUUUAACCGUGUGAUUAUUAACUUUAAAAAUUUUUCCUAUUCCUUUAUUUCUUCACUUCCGAGUUCCAACUGACAACAGAUAUUUGGUUGCAUGCUUAAUUCCAACAAUUAUAUCUUGACGCAAGAAAAUAUAAAUACAAUAGAUUAGUUUCAAUACAACUGUCACAGUCUUAUUUUAUAGACAUGUUUUUUAUCUUUUGUCAAGUCAGACUGUAACUUUCAAUCUGUAAUAUUAUGAUACAACGUUAACAUCAGAGAGGUUUUUGCCUAUUGGUUAUUUAAUUCAAUUUUUCCAAUUCAUUGCCCAAUCUUUGAGAUUGUGUAAUGAUUAUAGUGAAUUUUUAUUAUCUGUUAUAGUGUAGACAUGCAUUACGAAAUUCAAGUAAUUAAAUUUUACAAUAUGAUGGUUGUUCAACAAGAAAUAAUACAACACGAAAUUGUCAACCUGUCUGGUGUUGACGUUUAGCGUCAAUUUGAAUCAUGCAAAGUGUGCUCGAUUCAAUUAUGCAGUUAUUUUGAGUUCCUAUAGGCAUAAAGUAGCGGUUGAAUUUCAUCUCAGCCAAAGCUUUAAUCGCAAGGCAUCUACACCGUUUAAAUAAUAUCGAAAUAAUCGUUUGUCUCGAACGAAACCUAAAUUUUCGUACAAUCGAAGCGCUGGUCGAUUGGUUAUUUCCGUUUCUAAAACUACUUCGUCAGCGUCAUCAGCUACCAUUGCUUGAAUCGCUCGUCUCACAAGAUUGGAACCAAUUUUACGCUUACGGUAUUUCACAUCUACCGCAAGCAUUGCAAUGUAUCCGCGCUUUAUCACUUUUCUGUGGACAUCAAGCUUGCAAACAAUUGCUCCAACACACUCCUCUUCGUGCAUAGCCUUUGAAAAGAAAGAAAACACGGAACCAUUAUGUCACCGAUGAAAAUUAUUCAACUUUUGUAGAUAGUAAAAUGUAAUGUUAUAAUAAAUUUCAAAUUAAA